CCUGCUUGAUCCUGCCAGUAGCAUAUGCUUGUGUCAAAGAUUAAGCCAUGCAUGUCUAAGUACACAUGGCCGGUAGAGUGAAACUGCGAAUGGCUCAUUAAAUCAGUUACGGUUCCUUUGGUCGCUCCCACCGUUCCUUGGAUAACUGUGAUAAUUCUAGAGCUAAUACAUGCCGACGAGCGCUGACCUCCGGGGAUGUGUGCAUUUAUCAGACCAAAACCAACCUGGGCUCGCCCGGCCACUUUGGUGACUCUAGAUAACCUCAGGCCAAUCGCACACCCCUGUGGGGGCAACAAUGCAUUCGAAUGUCUGUCCUAUCAACUUUCGAUGGUACUUUCUGUUCCUACCAUGGUGACCACGGGUAAUGGGGAAUCAGGGUUCAAUUCCAGAUAGGGAGCCUGAGAAAUGGCUACAAGGAAGGCAGCAGGCACGCAAAUUACCCACUCCAGACCCUGGGAGGUAGUGACGAAAAAUAACAAUACAGGAUUAUUUUGAGGCCCUGUAAUUGGAAUGAGUACACUUUAAAUCCUUUAACGAGGAUCUAUUGGAGGGCAAGUCUGGUGCCAGCAGCCGUGGUAAUUCCAGCUCCAACAGCAUAUAUUAAAGUUGCUGCAGUUAAAAAGCUCAUAGUUAGAUCUUGGGAUCGAGCUGGCGGUCCACCGCGAGGCGAGCUACCACCUGUCCCAGCCCCUGCCUCUCGGUGCUCCCUUGAUGCUCUUAACUGAGUGUCCUGGGGGUCCAAAACAUUUACUUUGAAAAAAUUAGAGUUUUCAAAGCAGGCCGGUCGCCAGAAUACUCCAGCUAGGAAUAAUGGAAUAGGACUCUGGUUCUAUUUUGUUGGUUUUCAGAACUGGGGCCAUGAUUAAGAGGAAUGACCGGGAGCAUUCAUAUUGUGUUGCUAGAGGUGAAAUUCUUGGACUGGUGCAAGAUGAACCAAAGCGAAAGCAUUUCCCAAGAAUGUUUUCAUUAAUCAAGAAUGAAAGUUGGAGGUUCGAAGACAAUCAGAUACCAUCAUAGUUCCGACCAUAAACGAUGCCGACUACGAUCCGGCAGCAUUAUUCCCAUGCCCCGCUGGGCAGCUUCCGGGAAACCAAAGUCUUUGGGUUCCAGGGGGAGUAUGGUUGCAAAGCUGAAACUUAAAGGAAUUGAUGGAAGGGCACCACCAGGAGUGGAGCCUGUGGCUUAAUUUGACUCAAUAUGGGAAACCUCACCCGGCCCGGACACGGAAAGGAUUGACAGAUUGAUAGCUCUUUCUCAAUUCUGUGGGUGGUGGUGCAUGGCCGUUCUAAGUUGGUGGAGCGAUUUGUCUGGUUAAUUCCGAUAACGAACGAGACUCUGGCAUGCUAACUAGCUAUGCGACCCCCGAGCGGUCGGCGUCCAACUUCUUAGAGGGACAAGUGGUGUUCGGCCACCCAAGAUUGAGCAAUAACAGGUCUGUGAUGCUCUUAGAUGUCCGGGGCUGCACGCGCGCUACACUGACUGGUUCAGCGUUUGCCUACCCUACGCCGACAGGUGCGGGUAACCCAUUGAACUCCAUUCGUGAUGGGGAUUGGUGAUUGCAAUUAUUCCCCAUGAACAAGGAAUUCCCAGUAAGUGCGGGUCAUACGUUUGCGUUGAUUAAAUCCCUGCCCUUUGUACACACUGCCCGUCACUACUACCGAAUGGAUAGUUUAGUGAGGUCGAACUUGACUAUCUAGACAAAGUAAAAGUCGUAACAAGAUUUCCAUAGGUGAACGUGCGGAAGGAUCAUUAACG
rnacentral:rRNA from 1 species